rnacentral:rRNA from 1 species
UGAGGAAUAUUGCACAAUGGGGGCAACCCUGAUGCAGCAACGCCGCGUGGAGGAUGAAGGCUUCGGUUGUAAACUCCUUUUCUGAGGGAAGAGAAAGGACGGUACCUCAGGAAUAAGUCACGGCUAACUACGUGCCAGCAGCCGCGGUAAUACGUAGGUGGCGAGCGUUAUCCGGAUUUAUUGGGCGUAAAGCGCGCGCAGGCGGUUGGUCAAGUCCGACGUGAAAUUUCCCGGCUUAACUGGGAGGGGUCGUUGGAAACUGAUUAACUUGAGGCAAUGAGAGGGGUGCAGAAUUCCUGGUGUAGUGGUGGAAUGCGUAGAUAUCAGGAGGAAUACCAGUGGCGAAAGCGGCACCCUGGCAGUGGCCUGACGCUCAUGUGCGAAAGCGUGGGGAGCGAACGGGAUUAGAUACCCCUGUAGUCC